AUGGUAGAUAGGCUUCAAAGGCGCGGAUGGCCAAAUUGUGUCAUAUGUCCUCUUUGUAGACAAACCGGGGAAUCGGUGGAUCACCUCUUUUUCAAGUGUCGAUUUAGUAGGAGGCUUUGGAGCGUGAUCAAGGCUUGGCUCAACCUCGACGACUUUGACACUUCUCGUUGGACUGUGGAGCGUUCCAUCAAGGAUCGGUGGAUCAAUAUGUCCAAGAAGAGUGAGACAAACCGGAAGGCGAUGAUGUCCCUCACCAUGCUUACUUGUUGGACAAUUUGGUGUGAGCGGAAUGUGAGGGUGUUUCAACACAAAUCCACGCUCCCAUCUAUCAUUCUCUCCAACAUCAUGAACGAGGCAACGCUUUGGGUCACCGCCGGCGUGAAGCCUGUAAUUUUCUUUCGCUUUUGUUUGUAA
rnacentral:rRNA from 1 species